AACUACAGAUCAAGAUGGCUCAGGUAUCUUUCAAAUACAUAUAUAUGGUUCUGCUGUUGAUGCUUGUCUGUUCCCAUUUAGCCCCUGACUUCCUGUUGGAACAGAGGUUCCUAUUGUUUAUGGAUUUAUGUUCAUGGCAGAUGAUGCUGUGUUGCAAAGCACCUGUGGGUGCAUUUGCAUCUUUAACUGAUACGUACUUUGGCAUUUGGUGAGGUUAAAUAUAAAUUGAGUUAUUUAUUAACCCAUCAAUUGUUUUCAUUCUAAGUAUGCUCUUCCUUUAUAGGGGGCUAAGCCUGGGGAAGGUG
rnacentral:misc_RNA from 1 species